CGAAACCGAGUGAUCUAGCCAUGGGCAGGUUGAAGGUUGAGUAACAUCAACUGGAGGACCGAACCGACUAAUGUUGAAAAAUUAGCGGAUGACUUGUGGCUAGGGGUGAAAGGCCAAUCAAACUCGGAGAUAGCUGGUUCUCCCCGAAAGCUAUUUAGGUAGCGCCUCGGACGAAUACUACUGGGGGUAGAGCACUGUUAAGGCUAGGGGGUCAUCCCGACUUACCAACCCUUUGCAAACUCCGAAUACCAGUAAGUACUAUCCGGGAGACACACGGCGGGUGCUAACGUCCGUCGUGGAGAGGGAAACAACCCAGACCGCCAGCUAAGGUCCCAAAUUACAGCUAAGUGGGAAACGAUGUGGGAAGGCUUAGACAGCUAGGAUGUUGGCUUAGAAGCAGCCAUCAUUUAAAGAAAGCGUAAUAGCUCACUAGUCGAGUCGGCCUGCGCGGAAGAUGUAACGGGGCUAAGUUGUAAACCGAAGCUGCGGCAAUGUUCUAUGAACAUUGGGUAGGGGAGCGUUCUGUAAGCCGUUGAAGGUGUGUUGUAAAGCAUGCUGGAGGUAUCAGAAGUGCGAAUGCUGACAUGAGUAACGACAAGGGGGGUGAAAAACCUCCCCGCCGGAAGACCAAGGGUUCCUGUCCAACGUUAAUCGGGGCAGGGUAAGUCGACCCCUAAGGCGAGGCUGAAAAGCGUAGUCGAUGGGAAACGGGUUAAUAUUCCCGUACUUCUUACAAUUGCGAUGGGGGGACGGAGAAGGCUAGGUGGGCCUGGCGACGGUUGUCCAGGUUCAAGUGCGUAGGCUGAGUGUUUAGGUAAAUCCGGAUACUCUUAAGGCUGAGACACGACGUCGAGCUACUACGGUAGUGAAGUCAUUGAUGCCAUGCUUCCAGGAAAAGCCUCUAAGCUUCAGAUUGUAAGGAAUCGUACCCCAAACCGACACAGGUGGUCGGGUAGAGAAUACCAAGGCGCUUGAGAGAACUCGGGUGAAGGAACUAGGCAAAAUGGUACCGUAACUUCGGG
rnacentral:rRNA from 1 species